rnacentral:rRNA from 1 species
GAUGAACGCUGGCGGCGUGCUUAACACAUGCAAGUCGAACGAGAAGUGAAGACGGAACCCUUCGGGCGGAAGGCUUUAUUUCGAGUGGCGGACGGGUGAGUAACGCGUGGGUAACCUGCCUCAUACAGGGGGAUAACAGUUGGAAACGACUGUUAAUACCGCAUAAGACCACAGCACCGCAUGGUGCGGGGGUAAAAACUCCGGUGGUAUGAGAUGGACCCGCGUUCGAUUAGCCAGUUGGCGGGGUAACGGCCCACCAAAGCGACGAUCGAUAGCCGAUCUGAGAGGAUGACCGGCCACAGUGGGACUGAGACACGGCCCAAACUCCUACGGGAGGCAGCAGUGGGGAAUAUUGCACAAUGGGGGAAACCCUGAUGCAGCGACGCCGCGUGAGUGAAGAAGUAUUUCGGUAUGUAAAGCUCUAUCAGCAGGGAAGAAAAUGACGGUACCUGAGUAAGAAGCCCCGGCUAACUACGUG